GGAGAGAGAGAGAGAGAGAGAGAGAGGAGUUAUUCAGGAUCGAGAGAGUGCAGGUUUGUUUCUAGAGAAAGCACAGUCGAAACACAGAGAGAGAGAGAGAGAGAGAGCGCGCGCGAAAGAGACAGUGGUGAUUCCGUUUUGCUGUGAGGAGGAAGAAGAUCUGCGUCUUGGAUAGGGAUAUUGUUCGGUUUUGCUGUGAGAAGGAGGAGGAUCUGCGUUUUGGAUAACUCUGUCGGGGGUAUUGUUUGUGCUUCAGUUUAUUUCAGUGAUUGAUUGGAGGAGGUUCAAGAUUCAUGGCAGCUAAGUAUUAGCUGUUAGAGAUGAAUUUUAGCCCUGGAUAAAGGCUUGAUAGAGCUUGGCUUUAUGUUUGAUGAGAGCUCAUAAAACCUUUUUUCGUUUGGGAUUUUGUUGAAACAGAAGAAAAGAAAAGAAGAAAUACAAGAGGAAGAAGAAAAGGAAGAAGAAGAGGGAAAUCGAGUAAAUUGAUCAUCCCAGUUUAUAAGAGAUGUAAGAUAAAAGCAAAGAUUUUCUUAUCAGCUAUUGGAAUUAUUGGGUUUUGAUAUGGGGAGGAAGGGGGUGAAUUUGGGUGGUAGGGAUUUCCAUAAGCAUAUCAAAAGAGGCAGCUAAUACAGUUCGAGAAGAAUCUUAGAACUUAGAAAAGAGCACAUCAGUUGAUAGCAGAAAAGUUUGGACAAGAGAACAUUGCAACUUUUUUUUGCCGCAGCAUCGCGCGGCUGGGUUUUCUAGUACAUACAUCUAAAGCAGAAAGCCAGAAAGGCCUGUUCAUUUUAGUGAACAGUAAAAUGACGCUUUUGCCCUUUGUUUUGUUCUGAAUUACAGUUUUUACGCUUUUGCCCUCCCUUUUUUCCUCUACAGCUCUAGAUAUUUUCCGUCUCUCGCUCUCUACCCCGACAGCUGUACAUCGUCUGUAGCACAAUCCUGAGAGAGUUCAAGAACCGAUCCAGAGAACCAUGAAGAGGAUUAGUGAGAGAGAGAAGUAAAAUUCAGGAAAGAUAAAGAAUUCAUCUCAUCAUCUCAGCACGACUUUAGUUGCUCUUCAUCCCGAGACUGAUCGGAGAGGCACACUGGGAAAGAAGUGGGAGAGGGAUCUGGGUUUUGACUACAGCCCCAAAUUUCUAAUCGGAGAGGCACACAGACUGAAGCGGUACUGUUUGUGCUCAAGUUUGGGAUUUGAGUGAUCGAUUCGAAAAGGUUCAAGUUUGGAUUCUGGACGGUUGAUUGAAAAAAUUACAAGACAUAAUAUGACGAAUCUCGGUUUUUGGAUUUUGAUUUGAGGAAGCUGAAAACUUAUCUGGGUAAUUGGUUUUCCAUUCCUAAUUUUUUUUUUAUAUCAAUUUUUUGGUUUAAUUGGUAAAUUAUUUUUUUCACGUCUUCAAAUGCUCUGAUCGAUUUUCCGGUUUGGAAUUUUUGGUUUAAUGUUCAUUCAAAUUUUACUUUUACAGAGAGCUACAAGAACUGUACUGGUUGUGUGUUGAGCUUAGUUUUUCUUAAUACCCUUGAUCCGAGUUUUUCUUACUUUAGAUUCUUCUGGAAUACGCUCCCCCUUGUGGAUUAAAUAGCAGUAAUUGCAAGGGGCUUGUAGCAGUGAGAGUGUCUAAGUAGUUCAGAUUCUUUCAUUCUUUCACUUAUAAAUUCAGAAUUUCAUUCUCUAGUCUUCAUAGUUUGCGUUAUCAACCAAGGAGAAGAAGAAGCCGUGCGAUACAUCUACCCUAGCACCACCACCUUUAUUGCCGUCCCUUGGAGGUGCUUGCUUUCAAGAUCUUCAAGUGUUCAACGUCUUCAAAGUCUUGUCUUCCAUCUUUCAUGGAAAUAAGCGGAAUUGCGAAAAUCAAUGAAAAAUAGUGCGAAAUUGAAGCAAUUUAAAGUUUCUGACAAAAGGACAAAAAGUCAACUGGUUGACCACCGGACUGGAUCAACCAAGUCAACUUGGCCCGAUAGCAUGAAGUUCAAGGCCCAAGACCAAAGAAGCACAAGUGAAAAUCCAAGUCCAUUUGUAUUACAUCUUUGUAUUCAAAUUUCAAAUUCAAAAUGGAUGUAAUGACAAUAAUAAUAGUGGACCACACCUCACACACAUCACACAUGUGGAUGAGAUAUUUAUUUGUGUUCACACUAGACACACACUCACUUACACUUUUACCCUCCGGUUUUCUUUAUAUUUUCCAAAAUGUUUUCUAAUAUUCUAAUUCUCUACAUUUUUAUUAGAUUGUUUUUGUCUUUUUCAUUUUACCCAUUUCUACUUGUUUUUGAGCCCUUAGAUCUAGGGUACAAGUCCAAUCUUGACCCUUAAACCCAAGGGGUAUUUAAGCACCUUUGCACACACAUUUCACAAGCUUAAGACCCUUUUUUCUACACCCUAGGCCUUUUGGCCGAAUUUUGGGAGAUCUCUCCCUUCUCACCUCUUCUUCUCUUCUCCCUCCUCUAUUUCUUUUUCUUCUGUUCAUCUUUGCCUUAAUUUUAUAUUGGGAUUUCAAGGAUAUCUCACCCAAAGCUUCAAGGAUU